rnacentral:rRNA from 1 species
UUUUAUGAGAGUUUGAUCCUGGCUCAGGACGAACGCUGGCGGCGUGCCUAAUACAUGCAAGUCGUACGCUUCUUUUUCCACCGGAGCUUGCUCCACCGGAAAAAGAAGAGUGGCGAACGGGUGAGUAACACGUGGGUAACCUGCCCAUCAGAAGGGGAUAACACUUGGAAACAGGUGCUAAUACCGUAUAACAAUCGAAACCGCAUGGUUUUGAUUUGAAAGGCGCUUUCGGGUGUCGCUGAUGGAUGGACCCGCGGUGCAUUAGCUAGUUGGUGAGGUAACGGCUCACCAAGGCCACGAUGCAUAGCCGACCUGAGAGGGUGAUCGGCCACAUUGGGACUGAGACACGGCCCAAACUCCUACGG